GACGAACGCUGGCGGCGUGCCUAAUACAUGCAAGUCGAACGAGUGGCGGACGGGUGAGUAAUGUCUGGGAAACUGCCCGAUGGAGGGGGAUAACUACUGGAAACGGUAGCUAAUACCGCAUACCAUCGGAUGUGCCCAGAUGGGAUUAGCUAGUAGGCGGGGUAACGGCGCACCUAGGCGACGAUCCCUAGCUGGUCUGAGAGGAUGACCAGACACACUGGAACGUAGAAACGGUCCAGACUCCGAGGGGAGGCAGCAGUGGGGAAUAUUGCACAAUGGGCGAAGCCCGGAUACAGCCAUGCCGCGUGAAGGACGAAGGCAGUCGGGUUGUAAAGUACUUUCAGCGAGGAGGAGUUAAUCGAAGAAAAAGCAACGGCUAACUCCGUGCCAGCAGCCGCGGUAAUAC
rnacentral:rRNA from 1 species